AUUGAACGCUGGCGGCAUGCCUUACACAUGCAAGUCGAACGGCAGCACGGGUGCUCGCACCUGGUGGCGAGUGGCGAACGGGUGAGUAAUACAUCGGAACGUACCUUAUCGUGGGGGAUAACGCAGCGAAAGUUGCGCUAAUACCGCAUACGCCCUGAGGGGGAAAGCGGGGGACCGUAAGGCCUCGCGCGAUUAGAGCGGCCGAUGUCUGAUUAGCUUGUUGGUGAGGUAAAAGCUCACCAAGGCGAUGAUCAGUAGCUGGUCUGAGAGGACGAGCAGCCACACUGAGACUGAGACACGGCCCAGACUCCUACGGGAGGCAGCAGUGGGGAAUUUUGGACAAUGGGGGCAACCCUGAUCCAGAAAUGCCGCGUGAGUGAAGAAGGCCUUCGGGUUGUAAAGCUCUUUUGUCAGGGAAGAAACAGCAGCUCUAACACAGUCUGCGAAUGACGGUACCUGAAGAAUAAGCACCGGCUAACUACGUGCCAGCCGCCGCCGUAA
rnacentral:rRNA from 1 species